GAUGAAGAACGCAGCGAAAUGCGAUAAGUAAUGUGAAUUGCAGAAUUCAGUGAAUCAUCGAAUCUUUGAACGCACAUUGCGCCCGCCAGUAUUCUGGCGGGCAUGCCUGUUCGAGCGUCAUUUCAACCAUCAAGCCCCCGGCUUGUGUUGGGGCCCUGCGGCUGCCGCAGGCCCUGAAAAGCAGUGGCGGGCUCGCUGUCACACCGAGCGUAGUAGCAUACAUCUCGCUCUGGGCGUGCUGCGGGUUCCGGCCGUUAAACCACCUUCAUAACCCAAGGUUGACCUCGGAUCAGGUAGGAAGACCCGCUGAACUUAAGCAUAUCAAUAAGCGGAGGA
rnacentral:misc_RNA from 1 species